rnacentral:rRNA from 1 species
UACGUAGGAGGCAAGCGUUUGUCCGGAAUUAUUGGGCGUAAAGAGCUUGUAGGCGGUUUGUCGCGUCUGCUGUGAAAUCUCAAGGCUCAACCUUGAGCUUGCAGUGGGUACGGGCAGACUAGAGUGUGGUAGGGGAGACUGGAAUUCCUGGUGUAGCGGUGAAAUGCGCAGAUAUCAGGAGGAACACCGAUGGCGAAGGCAGGUCUCUGGGCCACUACUGACGCUGAGAAGCGAAAGCAUGGGGAGCGAACAGG